rnacentral:snoRNA from 1 species
CUGAUACAAUGAUGACUUUCUUGUGUUUUUUUAUACAGUUUAUCCCUGUCUGAAAAUAUUACAAUUCUUGUUGAGAACGUUACCUUCUGAGUAUCAU